AUUGAACGCUGGCGGCAGGCCUAACACAUGCAAGUCGAACGAGUGGCGGACGGGUGAGUAAUGUGUGGGAAUCUGCCAGAUGGAGGGGGAUAACUCCUAGAAAGGGUCGCUAAUACCGCAUACUCUCAGAUGAGCCCAUAUGGGAUUAGCUAGUGGGUGGGGUAACGGCUCACCAAGGCGACGAUCCCUAGCUGGUCUGAGAGGAUGACCAGCCACACUGGAACUGAGACACGGCCCAGACUCCUACGGGAGGCAGCAGUGGGGAAUAUUGCACAAUGGGAGCAAGCCUGAUGCAGCCAUGCCGCGUGUAUGAAGAAGGCCUUCGGGUUGUAAAGUACUUUCAGCAGGGAGGCGUUACCCGCAGAAGAAGCACCGGCUAACUCCGUGCCAGCAGCCGCGGUAAUUC
rnacentral:rRNA from 1 species